rnacentral:pre_miRNA from 1 species
AAACAGCCCCCUAUGUUUUAAUUCUUUGGCAGUUUUGGACCCCCAAGGCAAAAAAAAAAAAAAAAAUUUCACACGUGGCACCUCACUUAGGGUGCAACGUCAGCGUUGACCGAGUCAACAAUGGACUGGGGGUCCAAAACUGACAAAGAAUCAAAACAUAAGGGGCUGUUU